CAAAGUUGAUCGUGUUUAUGACGUCGAAUAUCGACGUCAUAAACACCAAAUUUGAUCGUGGUUAUGACGUCGAUAUUCGACGUCAUAAACACCAAAG